rnacentral:rRNA from 1 species
UACGGAAGGCAGCAGUGGGGAAUAUUGCACAAUGGGCGCAAGCCUGAUGCAGCCAUGCCGCGUGUAUGAAGAAGGCCUUCGGGUUGUAAAGUACUUUCAGUCGUGAGGAAGGUGUUAAGGUUAAUAACCUUAGCAAUUGACGUUAGCGACAGAAGAAGCACCGGCUAACUCCGUGCCAGCAGCCGCGGUAAUACGGAGGGUGCGAGCGUUAAUCGGAAUUACUGGGCGUAAAGGGCACGCAGGCGGUUAAUUAAGUUGGAUGUGAAAUCCCCGGGCUUAACCUGGGAAUGGCAUUCAAGACUGGUUAGCUAGAGUCUUGUAGAGGGGGUAGAAUUCCAUGUGUAGCGGUGAAAUGCGUAGAGAUGUGGAGGAAUACCGGGUGGCGAAGGCGGCCCCUGGGACAAAGGCUGACGCUCAUGUGCGAAAGCGUGGGGAGCGAAACAGGGAUUAGAUACC